AAAAUGCUCAACAAACAGAGCUAGUUUUUCUAUGCCCGUUUUAUAUCUGAUUCGCAUGAUACAUGGAUACAUCGAGAUACAUCUGUGCAGAUCUGUGCUGGAAGAGAAUGAUCAAGGAUGAGGAGAUAAAGUUUCCGCCCCUGAAAGUUACUGCACUGUAAAUUUGUAUACUAGUCGUUAUAAGUGAAUCUCUUUGUCAAUUGUCAUGAGACAGUUACGAUGCAUUAUUCUCGAUGACAAGUUCUGUACAUAUAACAAUUCCGAGAAAUGAUUAUAUAUUUAUGCACGUCUUUUGUACAACUUUUUUUAAUGAUGACUGCAAUUUGAAAGGAAAUCGACGGUGAUCUUCACUGAUUCAUAUCCAUGGCUUUACGUAUGAUGUCAGCAAUUGUGCCAGGCACCCAUAAUGUAAUCGAUGCUAAUCAAACUUAUGAUCAUGCAGCAGAACGUCAUAAACUAUUGGAAGAUUUAUUAGCUGCUGCAAAAAAGUGUCACAUUAGAUUUGGUGGACGUACUGAAUUAGCAACUGAAUUAGAUUUAUCUGUUUCACAUCUCUGUCAUGUAUUCGAAUCAAUUUUUAGUCACGGAUUACGUACAAAUUGCAUUGGGAAAAUUAACUCAGCUUUAAGGCAUGUGUCCGACAUAGUAUCCGGUAGUAAUACAAAAUCAUGCAGCAUAUCAGAUAUGGCAUUUUGGCCGUGCAUAAAAGAGCAAUUAACGUGGCAUGAACAAGAACGUUUUAGUAUAUUGAAGAGAGUUCAUACGGAUUAUGGUCGUGGUAGAGCAUGGCUCAGAGCAGUAUUAAAUGAGCGUUCUCUGGAACGCCAUUUACAUACUAUUAUCGACCCUACUGUAUUGUCUCCAUACUACGAAGAUUGGGCAUUUUUACUUGACCAAGAACGUAGCGCAGUACUGCCAAAUGUGGCUGCAGGUCUUGGUAGCAUUUUGUUUGCAAUUAGUGUAGAUAACGAAGAAUUGGAUAACAAUUUAAGGGAUAAAGAUAUGGAGAAACAAAAGGUUUCACUAUCAGAGCCAAUUAUAUCGUCUGCGGUACCAGGGCCUACUUUAAAACAACAGAAACAAAGAAAAAAAGUACCGACGCAUAUAAUUUCCUUCGAUAACGAAGACGAUACGUCGGAGACUACAGAAACUACCGUUUCCGUUAGCGCACCUCCAACCUGUCUCAAUUCCCCCACAAUAAUAUCAACAAAAAGUUCUACGUCGCUUACUUUAUCAGUGUCGCAAUCUCAAAGAGAAACAAAUGAUAAUGUAGCGGCCGACAAACCGUCUUCCGAGUGGGAGAAACGUGAAUCAUUCGAAGAAGAGAAAGUAUUAACCCCAAUUACAGAUUCAGAGAAUAUGGGUGGACUUGUUCCUGUAUCACCUUUAGAUCAAACGUUAGAUGACAUGUUGAUAGCUUUACCGAACUACUUAGAUGAUUCAUCCGAGGUCGCAGAAGCUGCAGUGGAAGCUACCGAACCACUUGCAGGGUUAGAUGCUCAUCUAGAUGCAGAUAGUCUAGACAUAGAGGCGUUACGAAUAAAACUUUUAGCAACUACCGAAGUACUAGAACAAGCUAAAGAGGACGCCGUGACUAGUAGAUUGCAAAUUGCUCGUUUACAAAGACAACACCAAAAUUAUCUCGAAAGACACGAGUUACAGUUGCAAACAUUAAAUAGGGAAAAUGAGCUAUUAAGACAACAAUUACGUAAGUAUGUAACGGCAGUACAAAUGUUAAGAAGAGAUUCCGAUUCCACUACAGUCUCCGAAGAGGAUCCAUCGUUAGAUUAUCAUAACGAAGCUCAACAGUACGAGGAAAAAUUAAUUCAGGUCGCAGACAUGCACGCGGAAUUAAUGGAAUUUAACGCUAGACUAACUCUUCAAUUGACUAAUAGGGAUAGAUUAGUUAAAUUACUACAAGCUGAAUUAGAGUGCCUUCGUGGCCCCUUGAAUGAAGAUGACCUACCAUCAGAACCUCCAUGUCUCAUUCAUAUAUGGAUUCCAUCUGCAUUUCUUACAGGCCAACCUUCUGAUAUUCACCACGUUUAUCAGAUAUAUGUACGCAUUAGAGAUACCGAAUGGAAUAUAUAUAGACGAUAUGCGCAGUUUCAUGCACUUUAUAGAGAAUUGAAAAAACAUGAUACUAUUGUUACUACUUUCGAAUUUCCACCAAAGAAGACAAUAGGAAAUAAGGAUGCUAAAUUUGUAGAAGAAAGACGACAAAAAUUGCAGCAAUGGUUAAGACGGAUUGUUGGGAGAUUAGCACAAUGUUCACCCGCGUUUGUGUCCAGACCAAGUAGACAGACGCUUAUAUCCUUAAUGCCUUUCUUUGGUGAUAACCCUAAUACUGAGGAUUCGAGGAAAAAUAACUCUACAAGAAACACAUUUUCUUCUUCCCCUCAAUACAUGGGUUUAUAAUUAUUAACGUUUUUAUAGACAAUUUGUACAUACACGAAGCCUUUUUAUUUUAAUGUAUAAAAUACUUAUGUUGCUCUAUAUAUAUAUUGUGUAUAUAUAUAUAUUGUUGACAAUUAAAGAGAUGAGCAUAUGCCUGUAUGUAUACAAACACAAUUAACAUACAUUCACACAUAUGCUGUUUAUAUACGAUAAUAUGUAUAAAAUUAAUAUGUAGUCAAAAUAAUUAAAAGUUAAUCUUUUUUACAAAAGUAUGUAUUAUUUUUUUUUACAAAUGUCUAUAUGUAGUAUUAUUUAAAAGUCUAAUUCAUGCUCAAAGAGAAAUACUAAUCCUAUCUCCAAUCUUUCAAUCAGAUAAAAAAAUAUAUUUCUUAUACACUAUAUAAAUUUGUUAUAUGCCAUAUACUUUAUAAUAAACAUAUUAAAAAAUAUUUUUUUAAUGUAGUUUAUCAAAUAAAAAAUAUGAAUUGAAAUGCAUAUGAGAGGUGAUUGAUUAACGUAUGUACCAACAAAGGUAUAUUAAAAAACUAUAGACAACGCAAAGAAUUAUAAAGAAAAAGUAUCGUACACCGUUCUUAUUGAAUUGUACAAUAUUGACUUGAAUCUCGUUUUCUAAAAAUUUUAUUCAUGUAAGGCGCCUUAACAGUAAUAUAAAAAGGUACACUUUUCCAUUUAUACUUUAUGAUAAAAAUAAAAGUGCAUAUUGUUAUUGGAACAAGUACAUACAGUAUUAUGCUGGUAAAUAAUACAACUAAUCGCAUAUAAGAUUCACAGGUUUAACAAGUUUGCAUAGGAGUCUCACUAUGGAGAGGUAAGGUUAGAGAAUUCUCAAAGAACCAAUUGUCGAAGAACAAAUUUCUCACGUAAAACUCAUUGUUCCUCAAGCGUGACGCUUGUUAAACAAUAAAUAUAUUCAUUUCAACAAGGAAUUUCAAUCGUAAUUCGAAUCGAUAUUUGUACUGAGCGAUACAAGACUGCGUUUUACCUUUCCAUAUUGAGAUAUAAAAGUUUCUUGUAAUAGCAAAGUUUAUCAAGACGUUAAUAUAAUUAUCAUUAAUACAAUGACUACCGAGUUUGUGGAACCGUAAUGCAUUUUUUGUUUGUUACAAAGGAACCAACGGUACAUUAUUGUUAUCAUAGUGUGUUCAACGACAGCGCGAUACGAACAUUUUCUUUUGUUGCCCAAGAAAGCAGCAAAAUAAAUGACAAAUAUCGAUGCAACGAUAUUUGUCGCUUUCGGGGUUGAGGACGCUUACAUUUAAUUCGAUACUGAUGUAUCGAACAAGUAAGAUUGUGUGGUAGUCGAUGUAUUAGUUGUAAUUAUAUACGCUUUAAACGAAUCUAUGGAAUCUAUGUUAUAGCGCGUCGCAAUCAUAGCAUCAUAAUCAUAGUAAGUUUCGUAACGUAACGAUACACGUUUACAUUACUUGUAAAAUUGUUUAUAAAUCAGACACAUUCAUUUUCAAGACAGUAUCAUACAAUCUAAUAUUUUAGAGAGAGAGAGAGAGAGAGAGAGAGAGAAAUAAUCGAAUAAACCGUUAAAUAUGUUAUUUAAUGUUUCGAUAACGAUAUGGAGAAUCGAUACUUAAGAUUCAAUGGAUACUAGAAGAGAUUAAUACGAAUCAUUAACAAAAACGUAAAAAAAGUAACGAAGAUUGUGAAAAAAAAGUAAUUAAAAAAUAUCUCUAAACAUAUGAAUCAUUAAAACUUUGAAUAUCAAAUAUAAAUAAUGAAUAAUAAUGAUGAAAUACUCAAAAAUAAGGCAAUAAUAUUCUUUUACAUACUAAAUCUUAUAUUUUAAUUUGCCUUUAUAUUUUUAAAUUCGAUAAUGCACGAAAAAUACAAUGCGUAAACUUAUCACUUAAAGAGUAUUUUAUUCCGCAGAAAAUAUGAGUUUAUCUAUACAUAUGUAGCGUUUUCAUGAGAAAUCAUCAGAUUGAAGAAAAUGAAUCUGGAUCAUGUGAAAUUAAGAUACUUUACAAUACUGAUACGCGCAGUGCUAAUUAAAAAAAAAAGAAAAAAAAAUAGAAAAAAAAAGAUAUUAAAUGGGUGUGUUCGUGAAAAUGUAUCGAUACCUUGAUUUACGAUUCACAGAAAUGCAUGUGAUUAUCGUUUAAAUGAAUUAUUUAUUAUUGUUCAAAUAAAAAAAAUAUAUAAUUCCAUCGAGUAAGAAUAAUGAUUAAAAAAAAGUAAAAAUGCCUUCAUUUAAAAAAAAGAAAAUACAAUCUCGAUAAUUAUAAAAUUUCGAUCGGAAACAUAACAAAAUUCGAAGAUUUUGAUGUUAAAAAUUUCGAACAAAAAAUAUAUAUAUACAUACAUAUAUAUUUAUAAAAAAAGUUAACGAUUACUAUGAUUUUGAUAAUUGCAUUGUGCCGUUCGGAGAAGGAGUCUAAUCUCAGUUGACUAUGGACAGGCCAGUAUUGUGGUAAUAUUUUUGUUUAUACAUAUUUUAAAAGUUCGCAUUGAUCCACAAGUAUUUUUCGUUCAACGAACUUUUUCGCGAGACGCACGAAAAUUACAGAAUUCGUUGGCCUUAGUCACUACGUUCCGUACAAAGAUUUCAUCGUUAAACGGCUUUAAAUUAUUAUUUACAUUCACUAGCUCUCUUCGCUGACUAAUUUUGAUUUAGCCCUAGGACAGAUUCGAGAUUCGAUAGAUUCUUAUGUAUUAUUUAAUUAAAGUUAUUGAUUUUCG